AAAAAGCUCUGGAAAAUGCGGAUCUUGGUAGCGACAGAGAUAAAAAGAUUGAUAAGGAGCGAGCUGGUGUUUUGGUAGGAACAGGAAUGGGUGGUCUUACAGUUUUUUCAGAUGGCGUCCAAGCCUUAAUCGAAAAGGGUCACAGGAAAAUUACUCCAUUUUUCAUACCAUAUGCCAUAACAAAUAUGGGUUCGGCCUUGCUUGCAAUUGAUGUUGGUUUCAUGGGACCUAACUACUCAAUUUCAACUGCUUGUGCUACCUCCAACUAUUGUUUCUAUGCUGCUGCAAAUCACAUUCGUCGAGGUGAGGCUGAUUUGAUGAUAGCUGGUGG
rnacentral:misc_RNA from 1 species